AACGGUCUAUACCUGCGGUACCUGCGGAAGGAUCAUUACCGAGUUAUCAACUCCCAAACCCCUGUGAACAUACCCGAACGUUGCCUCGGCGGGACCGCCCCGGCGCCCCUAGCGGCCCGGAACCAGGCGCCCGCCGGAGGACCCAAACUCUUGCUUUAAACAGUGGCAUACCCUCUGAGUCUCACAAACAAAAAAUAAAUCAAAACUUUCAACAACGGAUCUCUAGAUCGGAAGAGCACA
rnacentral:misc_RNA from 1 species